UGACCACCACAGAUACUUCAUCAUACAUGUAAGUCUUAUUUUAGACCACAUCCUGGAAGGCAAUUAGUAGGGAUGCUAGGUUGACAUCUUUGCAUUCCAGUAUGUCUCUCUUAAUGUGGGCUGGGAUUGUGUGUGCAGGAUCCACGUCGUGAUAAUCUGAAGAGGUAAUAGUACCCAUAGCCCGUGGUUCGGUUGGUGCCUGUUUAACAGUAUCAAGAAGGCCAGCCUUGGUGGGGGCUGUGGUGACGGCCUCUAGGUUAGCCAGUCUAUCGUUAACCUUGCCCAUAGAGUUCAUGCUGUCACCCGAGUUGGUGUUGCUGGAGCCUUCCCCUGCUUCCGUAUUGUCGGUUGUAGUGCUUAGGAGUUUUAAUAGCUCCACUUUCCUUGCUGUGGCAGGGUAGGGGAUUUGUCGCCUCCUUAGUUCAGUGAUGAUGCGUGGGAUCGUCCAGGAUCUGAUUGAUGCUGGACUGGCAACAUCUCCCCUACGAUUAUUAUUUGAACCGAGUAGUUUAGUACUGGCUUGCUAGCUAUGCCGUAAGGCAAAACCAUUAUGCUAAUUGUUUUGGUGACAGGUGAGGUCCUGCUAGUUGCCAAGUGGCUUGAGAGGCUCUAUCUAUGCUUGGC